AAGCGGAGGGAAAGAAACUAACUAGGAAUCUCUUAGUAAGUGCGACCGAAGAGAGUCAAGUUCGUUGACCUAAUCCCUCGGGAAAUGUGGUUGAGAGGUUCUCUGCCAUAGCGUAACUGGAGUCGAAUCUCCGGCUAUAAAGAGUUUAAGCCUCGUAGCUAUGGGCAAGCUAGGUCCUUGUAAACGAGUCGGGCAGCUUGAGAAUGCUGCCUAAGAUGGGUGGUACGCCCCAUCAGAAACUAAAUAAUGUAAGAAGACCGAUAGAGCACAAGUAGUGAGAAGGAAAG
rnacentral:rRNA from 1 species